rnacentral:rRNA from 2 species
UGGGGAAUAUUGGUCAAUGGGGGAAACCCUGAACCAGCAAUGCCGCGUGAAGGAAGAAGGCCUUCGGGUUGUAAACUUCUUUGACCAGGGACGAUAAUGACGGUACCUCAAAAACAAGCCACGGCUAACUACGUGCCAGCAGCCGCGGUAAUACGUAGGUGGCGAGCGUUGUCCGGAAUUACUGGGUGUAAAGGGCGUGUAGGCGGGAAAGCAAGUCAGAUGUGAAAUACCGGGGCUUAACUCCGGGGCUGCAUCUGAAACUGUUUUUCUUGAGUGUCGGAGAGGAAAGCGGAAUUCCUAGUGUAGCGGUGAAAUGCGUAGAUAUUAGGAGGAACACCAGUGGCGAAGGCGGCUUUCUGGACGACAACUGACGCUGAGGCGCGAAAGCGUGGGGAGCAAACAGG